UCGGAUGAUGAGUUUCGCGUUUCUGAGCUUUUGCAAUGAAGAAGAUCUUGAGUGCUGAAU
rnacentral:snoRNA from 1 species